ACCAAAUAGUCGGGGGGCCCGCGUCAUUGUGCGCUGGCUGCGAUCGAAAUUCGAGACCCGUUGAACCUGAUUCAGUUAGCACUGACGUAGGGAACUAUAUACACUUUGCC
rnacentral:ncRNA from 1 species